rnacentral:rRNA from 1 species
AUUGAACGCUGGCGGCAGGCCUAACACAUGCAAGUCGAGCGGAGCGGCGGACGGGUGAGUAAUGCCUAGGAAUCUGCCUGGUAGUGGGGGAUAACGUCCGGAACCGGGCGCUAAUACCGCAUACUAUCAGAUGAGCCUAGGUCGGAUUAGCUAGUUGGUGGGGUAAAGGCCUACCAAGGCGACGAUCCGUAACUGGUCUGAGAGGAUGAUCAGUCACCGUGGAAAUGGGAGACGGUCCAGAAUACUCCGGGAGACAGCAGUGGGGAAUAUUGGACAAAGGGCGAAAGACUGAUACAGCCAUGCCGCGUGUGUGAAGAAUGUCUUCGGAUUGUAAAGCACGUUAAGUUGGGAGACGGUACCAACAGAAUAAGCACCGGCUAACCUCGUGCCAGCAGCCGCGGUAAUAC